rnacentral:lncRNA from 1 species
AGGAAACAAUAAAAUCACUUUAAUGUGCUACUUUUCAUUUUGAAGUCAUUACAGUAUCAUUUGCAAAACUCAACAAGGAAAGAUGCCUGUGGAUGGCCGUGUUCUGGGAGUCACUGUGAUGAGGUUCUCACACGUCCCUGAGGAACUAGAGAGGAACGCCUCUGGGAAGCCCAGCCAGAGCCAACCGGAAGGGCCUUUUGGUGAAGUCUGACAUCCUACAUUAGUUUCUCUGGACCUGGCCUCGCAGGAGUUUCCAGCUCAUGAGGGCAGAGGAGAUGAAGAGAGGCCGAUCGACGUGAGGGUUGUGCAGGCGGCCCCUCUGAGGUGUGACUCCAGUAAGUACUCUGGAAUUACUUGCUGAGAAAGAAAAGUCUGGAUGCCAAGAAAGGUGUGACAUCCUUGCUGGCUUCAAUGUGAAGAGCCACCCUGAUUCUGGGAUUCUGAUAGGAAUAAGGAUGAUGCAUAUCUGAACCUGGAAACCGCUUCCCACUGUAGAGCGUGUCUGAGUCAUGUCCCUUAGCUUCAGCAGAGCAGAUCCAGCAGGCUCUGAGCUUGGCCUCUUUGCCUGGAGCGAGACCUCUAGGUAAUGUCUCCAGAGAGGGUGGCACAAAGGAUCCUGGAUCUCCUGAUCACAGCAGCCCAAGAGUGCCGUGCGUGCACCAUGGCUCAAGAAGAAGACUUAAAAAGGGGAAA